rnacentral:rRNA from 1 species
UAGGGAAUCUUCCACAAUGGGCGAAAGCCUGAUGGAGCAACGCCGCGUGUGUGAUGAAGGGUUUCGGCUCGUAAACACUGUUGUAAGAGAAGAAUGACAUUGAGAGUAACUGUUCAAUGUGUGACGGUAUCUUACCAGAAAGGAACGGCUAAAUACGUGCAG